UUUUAGGUUCAUCCUGCCCAGUGAAGUAAAAUUUUUAACGGCCGCGGUACCCUGACCGUGCAAAGGUAGCAUAAUCAUUUGCCUCUUAAUUAGAGGCUAGAAUGAACGGACAAACGAAAGAGCCCCUGUCUCAUACGCCCAAAUAAAAAUUAAUCUCUAAGUAAAGAAGCUUAGAUCUAUAAGAAAGACAAAAAGACCCUAUUGAGCUUUUUAAGAUAAAUUCUAUUUUACACAAGUAUUAAAUACCCAUAAAAUAAUUUUUUCCAAAUUUGUUGGGGCGACAAAGGAAACCUUGUAUCUUCCUUAUUUCUAAAAGAGAUAAACUCAUCCAAAUGACCCUUAACCCCUCCUCUAUGAUCAGUAAAUUUAGCUACCAUAGGGAUAACAGGCUAAUCCCCCUUAAGAGUCCUUAUCGUCGGGGGGGUUUGGCACCUCGAUGUUGGCUUAGGAACCCUUUUAAUUGUAGCAGAUUAAAAAAGGAGGUUUGU
rnacentral:rRNA from 1 species